AUGAACGCUAGCUACAGGCUUAACACAUGCAAGUCGAGGGGCAGCAUGAACUUAGCUUGCUAAGUUUGAUGGCGACCGGCGCACGGGUGAGUAACACGUAUCCAACCUGCCGAUGACUCGGGGAUAGCCUUUCGAAAGAAAGAUUAAUACCCGAUGGCAUAGUUCUUCCGCAUGGUAGAACUAUUAAAGAAUUUCGGUCAUCGAUGGGGAUGCGUUCCAUUAGGUUGUUGGCGGGGUAACGGCCCACCAAGCCUUCGAUGGAUAGGGGUUCUGAGAGGAAGGUCCCCCACAUUGGAACUGAGACACGGUCCAAACUCCUACGGGAGGCAGCAGUGAGGAAUAUUGGUCAAUGGACGAGAGUCUGAACCAGCCAAGUAGCGUGAAGGAUGACUGCCCUAUGGGUUGUAAACUUCUUUUAUACGGGAAUAAAGUGAGGCACGUGUGCCUUUUUGUAUGUACCGUAUGAAUAAGGAUCGGCUAACUCCGUGCCAGCAGCCGCGGUAAUACGGAGGAUCCGAGCGUUAUCCGGAUUUAUUGGGUUUAAAGGGAGCGUAGGCGGACGCUUAAGUCAGUUGUGAAAGUUUGCGGCUCAACCGUAAAAUUGCAGUUGAUACUGGGUGUCUUGAGUACAGUAGAGGCAGGCGGAAUUCGUGGUGUAGCGGUGAAAUGCUUAGAUAUCACGAAGAACUCCGAUUGCGAAGGCAGCUUGCUGGACUGUAACUGACGCUGAUGCUCGAAAGUGUGGGUAUCAAACAGGAUUAGAUACCCUGGUAGUCCACACAGUAAACGAUGAAUACUCGCUGUUUGCGAUAUACAGUAAGCGGCCAAGCGAAAGCGUUAAGUAUUCCACCUGGGGAGUACGCCGGCAACGGUGAAACUCAAAGGAAUUGACGGGGGCCCGCACAAGCGGUGGAGCAUGUGGUUUAAUUCGAAGCAACGCGAAGAACCUUACCAGGCCUUGACAUCCCUUGCAGAGGUAUAGAGAUAUAUCCGAGGUUAUCAAGGAGACAGGUGGUGCAUGGUUGUCGUCAGCUCGUGUCGUGAGAUGUUGGGUUAAGUCCCGCAACGAGCGCAACCCCUAUUGUUAGUUGCUACGCAAGAGCACUCUAGCGAGACUGCCGUUGACAAAACGGAGGAAGGUGGGGAUGACGUCAAAUCAUCAUGCCCUUUAUGUCUUGGGCUACACACGUACUACAAUGGCUAUAACAAAGAGAAGCGAGACAGUGAUGUGGAGCAAAACUCAAAAAAAUAGUCUCAGUUCGGAUUGAAGGCUGAAAUUCGCCUUCAUGAAGCCGGAAUUGCUAGUAAUGGCAGGUCAGCAUACUGCCGUGAAUACGUUCCCGGGCCUUGUACACACCGCCCGUCACACCAUGAGAGUUGGGGAUACCCGAAGCCUGUGAGCCAACAGUUAAAUGAGGCAGCAGUCGAAGGUAGAAUCAAUGAUUGGGGUG
rnacentral:rRNA from 1 species